UAAUACGGAGGGUGCAAGCGUUAUCCGGAUUUACUGGGUUUAAAGGGUGCGUAGGUGGGCAGUUAAGUCAGUGGUGAAAUCUCCGAGCUUAACUCGGAAACUGCCAUUGAUACUAUCUGUCUUGAAUGUUCUGGAGGUGAGCGGAAUAUGUCAUGUAGCGGUGAAAUGCUUAGAUAUGACAUAGAACACCAAUUGCGAAGGCAGCUCACUACGGGAUUAUUGACACUGAGGCACGAAAGCGUGGGGAUCAAACAGGAUUAGAUACCCUGGUAGUCCACGCCCUAAACGAUGGAUACUCGACAUACGCGAUAUACAGUGUGUGUCUGAGCGAAAGCAUUAAGUAUCCCACCUGGGAAGUACGAUCGCAAGAUUG
rnacentral:rRNA from 1 species